AAGGAAUAUUGGUCAAUGGACGCAAGUCUGAACCAGCCAUGCCGCGUGAAGGAUUAAGGCCCUCUGGGUUGUAAACUUCUUUUAUCUGGGACGAAAACGGGAUUUUUAUCUCAAUUGACGGUACCAGAGGAAUAAGCACCGGCUAACUCCGUGCCAGCAGCCGCGGUAAUACGGAGGGUGCGAGCGUUAUCCGGAUUUACUGGGUUUAAAGGGUGCGUAGGUGGGCUUAUAAGUCAGUGGUGAAAUCUCCGAGCUUAACUUGGAAACUGCCGUUGAUACUAUAGGUCUUGAAUUAUCUGGAGGUAAGCGGAAUAUGUCAUGUAGCGGUGAAAUGCUUAGAUAUGACAUAGAACACCAAUUGCGAAGGCAGCUUACUACAUAUAAAUUGACGCUGAGGCACGAAAGCGUGGGGAUCAAACA
rnacentral:rRNA from 1 species